rnacentral:rRNA from 1 species
UACAGAGGUCUCAAGCGUUGUUCGGAUUCAUUGGGCGUAAAGGGUGCGUAGGCGGCGCGGUAAGUCGGGUGUGAAAUCUUGGAGCUUAACUCCGAAACUGCAUUCGAUACUGCCGUGCUUGAGGACUGGAGAGGAGACUGGAAUUUACGGUGUAGCGGUGAAAUGCGUAGAUAUCGUAAGGAAGACCUGUGGCGAAGGCGGGUCUCUGGACAGUUCCUGACGCUGAGGCACGAAGGCCAGGGGAGCAAACGGG